AUUGAACGCUGGCGGCAUGCUUUACACAUGCAAGUCGAGCGGCAGCGCGGGGGCACCCUGGCGGGGAGGGGCCGAAGGGGGGGGAAUGGAUUGGGAAGGUACCCCGGGGGGGGGAUAAACCAGCGGAAGGUGGGGCAAUUACGGCUGGGCUCUGAGGGGGGAAGGGGGGGAACUGGCGGGGGCUUGGGCUUGGGGGGCGGGCGAUGUCCGAUUAGCUAGUUGGUGGGGUAAAGGCUUACCAAGGCGACGAUCGGUAGCUGGUCUGAGAGGAUGAUCAGCCACACUGGGACUGAGACACGGCCCAGACUCCUACGGGAGGCAGCAGUGGGGAAUUUUGGACAAUGGGGGCAACCCUGAUCCAGCCAUGCCGCGUGAGUGAAGAAGGCCUUCGGGUUGUAAAGCUCUUUCGGACGGAACGAAAUGGGCGGGACUAAUACUCCUGUCUGAUGACGGUACCGUAAGAAGAAGCACCGGCUAACUACGUG
rnacentral:rRNA from 1 species